rnacentral:rRNA from 1 species
GCAUACAACAUAGCGUUAAUGCACCAGAUCCCAUUAGAACUCUAUAGUUAAGAACAUUCAUACUAGAGUAGUACUGGCAUGGGUGAUGAUGCCCUUACAACCCUUUAUGAAUCAGUUGGGAGGAGGAUACU